UUAAGCGACUAAGCGUACACGGUGGAUGCCCUGGCAGUCAGAGGCGAUGAAGGACGUGCUAAUCUGCGAUAAGCGUCGGUAAGGUGAUAUGAACCGUUAUAACCGGCGAUUUCCGAAUGGGGAAACCCAGUGUGUUUCGACACACUAUCAUUAACUGAAUCCAUAGGUUAAUGAGGCGAACCGGGGGAACUGAAACAUCUAAGUACCCCGAGGAAAAGAAAUCAACCGAGAUUCCCCCAGUAGCGGCGAGCGAACGGGGAGCAGCCCAGAGCCUGAAUCAGUGUGUGUGUUAGUGGAAGCGUCUGGAAAGGCGCGCGAUACAGGGUGACAGCCCCGUACACAAAAAUGCACAUGCUGUGAGCUCGAUGAGUAGGGCGGGACACGUGGUAUCCUGUCUGAAUAUGGGGGGACCAUCCUCCAAGGCUAAAUACUCCUGACUGACCGAUAGUGAACCAGUACCGUGAGGGAAAGGCGAAAAGAACCCCGGCGAGGGGAGUGAAAAAGAACCUGAAACCGUGUACGUACAAGCAGUGGGAGCACGCUUAGGCGUGUGACUGCGUACCUUUUGUAUAAUGGGUCAGCGACUUAUAUUCUGUAGCAAGGUUAACCGAAUAGGGGAGCCGAAGGGAAACCGAGUCUUAACUGGGCGUUAAGUUGCAGGGUAUAGACCCGAAACCCGGUGAUCUAGCCAUGGGCAGGUUGAAGGUUGGGUAACACUAACUGGAGGACCGAACCGACUAAUGUUGAAAAAUUAGCGGAUGACUUGUGGCUGGGGGUGAAAGGCCAAUCAAACCGGGAGAUAGCUGGUUCUCCCCGAAAGCUAUUUAGGUAGCGCCUCGUGAAUUCAUCUCCGGGGGUAGAGCACUGUUUCGGCAAGGGGGUCAUCCCGACUUACCAACCCGAUGCAAACUGCGAAUACCGGAGAAUGUUAUCACGGGAGACACACGGCGGGUGCUAACGUCCGUCGUGAAGAGGGAAACAACCCAGACCGCCAGCUAAGGUCCCAAAGUCAUGGUUAAGUGGGAAACGAUGUGGGAAGGCCCAGACAGCCAGGAUGUUGGCUUAGAAGCAGCCAUCAUUUAAAGAAAGCGUAAUAGCUCACUGGUCGAGUCGGCCUGCGCGGAAGAUGUAACGGGGCUAAACCAUGCACCGAAGCUGCGGCAGCGACGCUUAUGCGUUGUUGGGUAGGGGAGCGUUCUGUAAGCCUGUGAAGGUGUGCUGUGAGGCAUGCUGGAGGUAUCAGAAGUGCGAAUGCUGACAUAAGUAACGAUAAAGCGGGUGAAAAGCCCGCUCGCCGGAAGACCAAGGGUUCCUGUCCAACGUUAAUCGGGGCAGGGUGAGUCGACCCCUAAGGCGAGGCCGAAAGGCGUAGUCGAUGGGAAACAGGUUAAUAUUCCUGUACUUGGUGUUACUGCGAAGGGGGGACGGAGAAGGCUAUGUUGGCCGGGCGACGGUUGUCCCGGUUUAAGCGUGUAGGCUGGUUUUCCAGGCAAAUCCGGAAAAUCAAGGCUGAGGCGUGAUGACGAGGCACUACGGUGCUGAAGCAACAAAUGCCCUGCUUCCAGGAAAAGCCUCUAAGCAUCAGGUAACAUCAAAUCGUACCCCAAACCGACACAGGUGGUCAGGUAGAGAAUACCAAGGCGCUUGAGAGAACUCGGGUGAAGGAACUAGGCAAAAUGGUGCCGUAACUUCGGGAGAAGGCACGCUGAUAUGUAGGUGAAGUCCCUUGCGGAUGGAGCUGAAAUCAGUCGAAGAUACCAGCUGGCUGCAACUGUUUAUUAAAAACACAGCACUGUGCAAACACGAAAGUGGACGUAUACGGUGUGACGCCUGCCCGGUGCCGGAAGGUUAAUUGAUGGGGUUAGCGGUAACGCGAAGCUCUUGAUCGAAGCCCCGGUAAACGGCGGCCGUAACUAUAACGGUCCUAAGGUAGCGAAAUUCCUUGUCGGGUAAGUUCCGACCUGCACGAAUGGCGUAAUGAUGGCCAGGCUGUCUCCACCCGAGACUCAGUGAAAUUGAACUCGCUGUGAAGAUGCAGUGUACCCGCGGCAAGACGGAAAGACCCCGUGAACCUUUACUAUAGCUUGACACUGAACAUUGAGCCUUGAUGUGUAGGAUAGGUGGGAGGCUUUGAAGUGUGGACGCCAGUCUGCAUGGAGCCGACCUUGAAAUACCACCCUUUAAUGUUUGAUGUUCUAACGUUGACCCGUGAUCCGGGUUGCGGACAGUGUCUGGUGGGUAGUUUGACUGGGGCGGUCUCCUCCUAAAGAGUAACGGAGGAGCACGAAGGUUGGCUAAUCCUGGUCGGACAUCAGGAGGUUAGUGCAAUGGCAUAAGCCAGCUUGACUGCGAGCGUGACGGCGCGAGCAGGUGCGAAAGCAGGUCAUAGUGAUCCGGUGGUUCUGAAUGGAAGGGCCAUCGCUCAACGGAUAAAAGGUACUCCGGGGAUAACAGGCUGAUACCGCCCAAGAGUUCAUAUCGACGGCGGUGUUUGGCACCUCGAUGUCGGCUCAUCACAUCCUGGGGCUGAAGUAGGUCCCAAGGGUAUGGCUGUUCGCCAUUUAAAGUGGUACGCGAGCUGGGUUUAGAACGUCGUGAGACAGUUCGGUCCCUAUCUGCCGUGGGCGCUGGAGAAUUGAGGGGGGCUGCUCCUAGUACGAGAGGACCGGAGUGGACGCAUCACUGGUGUUCGGGUUGUCAUGCCAAUGGCACUGCCCGGUAGCUAAAUGCGGAAGAGAUAAGUGCUGAAAGCAUCUAAGCACGAAACUUGCCCCGAGAUGAGUUCUCCCUGACUCCUUGAGAGUCCUGAAGGAACGUUGAAGACGACGACGUUGAUAGGCCGGGUGUGUAAGCGCAGCGAUGCGUUGAGCUAACCGGUACUAAUGAACCGUGAGGCUUAACCUU
rnacentral:rRNA from 1 species